GACGAACGCUGGCGGCGUGCUUAACACAUGCAAGUCGAACGCACAGGCUUGGUGCUUGCACUGGGUGGGUGAGUGGCGCACGGGUGAGUAACACGUGAAUAACCUGCCUUUGACUCUGGGAUAAGCCUGGGAAACUGGGUCUAAUACUGGAUACGAUAUGUCACCGCAUGGUGGUGUGUGGAAAGGCGUUUGUUGGGUUUGGAUGGGCUGACGGCCUAUCUGCUUGUUGGGGGGGUAAUGGCUCACCAAGGCGACGACUGGUAGCCGGCCUGAGAGGGUGACCGGCCACACUGGGACUGAGACACGGCCCAGACUCCUACGGGAGGCAGCAGUGGGAAAUAUUGCACAAUGGGCGGAAGCCUGAUGCAGCGACGCCGCGUGCGGGAUGACGGCCUUCGGGUUGUAAACCUCUUUCAGCACGGAAGAAGCGAAAGUGACGGUACGUGCUGAAGAAGCGCCGGCUAACUACGUG
rnacentral:rRNA from 1 species